rnacentral:rRNA from 1 species
AUGGGCGCAAGCCUGAUCCAGCCAUGCCGCGUGAGUGAAGAAGGCCUUCGGGUUGUAAAGCUCUUUCGGACGGGAAGAAAUGGCGGGCCCUAACAUAGCCUGUCGAUGACGGUACCGUAAGAAGAAGCACCGGCUAACUACGUGCCAGCAGCCGCGGUAAUACGCAGGGUGCGAGCGUUGAUCGGAAUUACUGGGCGUAAAGCGUGCGCAGGCGGUUUUGUAAGACAGAUGUGAAAUCCCCGGGCUUAACCUGGAAACUGCGUUUGUGACGGCAAGGCUGGUGUUCGGCAGAGGGGGGUGGAAUUCCACGUGUAGCGGUGAAAUGCGUAGAGAUGUGGAGGAACACCGAUGGCGAAGGCAGCCCCCUGGGCCUGUACUGACGCUCAUGCACGAAAGCGUGGGGAGCAAACA